rnacentral:lncRNA from 1 species
GCAUUGAAGAAACAAAAGCCACCAGAGAAAAGAGCAGAGACAGCAUCAGGGGAGGAAGAGGUAGAAGGAGGCUGCUACAAAUAAGUCCUGCAUUGGGCGCACCUAUCUUUAUACCUUUAUGACUCCCAUUUUAAAGAUGCCAAAGACUCUGCCCCGGAUAGUUGUUUCAUCUGGGGAGGAGCCACUAACUCAGAGCACUUUGCAGCAAGUGAUCAGAAUUUCUUGUAAUGCUAGCUGAAGCUGACAGUCCUUACAGCUUAUAAAUACCUAGAAAAUAAGAACCUUAAAGGGAGAAAUGCACAUUAAUGGAAGAAAACAUUUCUAGCAAAUAUGAUGAGAAUCAAACUGAUGCUUGGUGAGUGUCACUGAAUGAAAAUAUUAGCUGAAUAAAAAUGCUAACUAU